UAAAUCCAUCUGAAACCAGUAUGUAAGCUCUUCUGAGUGUACUUCCAUCUUCUUAUUUCAUGAAUAUUUAUUUCUCUUCACUUCUCAGAUAUGAUUUCAAAUUUAAAUUAUUUUUUUAAUUCUCAAUUUUUAUUGAGCUUUAAAGUAAUCAUAUCGAUUAUACUCUUGAUAGAUUUGCCCAAAAUGUUUUAGAAUUUAAAUCUAGAUCCGAUACUGGUUUCGAUAAACUAUUGGACUAUUACCCAACGUUAUAUCAGGUGGUAAAAUAAUAAAAAUAAAAGAUAUUAUAUCAUUAUUCAGAUUGGGAUCGGACCCAACUAUUGACACUAUAUAGGUUAAUUCAACAUCAUUAUAAUCCAAAAACUUACGUAAUUGAUAUUAUGAUUGUUUUACUUGGUUAAUCGUUUACUUUCUUCCCAUUAGUUGUCGAAAUAUAUAAUAAUUAGAUUUUAUUGUAAUAUUUAAAUUGUCAACGAAUACUCUCUCUAUAUAUAAAUUGAUCUUUUGAUGUGUUAGUCAUGUGAGAUAAAUAUUUAGCUUGACUUUAUCUUCUUUUUUUUUUCUUUUGUUUUCAGAUAACUUUCUCUCUCUCUUUGAUUGACUACUUAAUCGAUAAGCUUAAUACAUUCUCUGUUCUGUUACAUUUGUAUUGCUUCACAAAAUUGGUUCAUCAGUUAGUCUCGAUUUCCAAAUUACUUUCCUAUACGGAAAAAGUCUCAUUUUGUUUAAAUUUUUGCAUUCUGUGUUACUAUAUUCAGACUUAAGGAAUAAAAGAAUGAACAGCUACUGCCCCAUUAAACUUAUUCAAAAAUUUUAAACUAUCAAUAGUUGAUACUAAAGAAUAUAUAUAUAUAUAUAUAUAUAUAUAUAUAUAUAUAUAUAUAUAUAUAUAAUUUUAGAUAGAGUGAUGAUUUUUCUCAACUGAUGCAAUGCAAUGCUUGUCUUCAAGUGGAUGCAAUGCUUGAUAGAGUGAAAUAUAAUUACAAAGCAUACUUGAAUUAGUUGAAUAUAAUAAUUAUUUAUACAUGUUAAAAGUGAUGAUUUUUCUCAACUGAUCAAGUGGAAAAUAUUCUUUUAUAAGAUACUCUCUGGAUGUAGAUGCAUGUAGAUCAAUUAUUUCUCUAGUAUUGGGUAGAUUUAAAAUAAGAGAAUCAUUUGACACCGAAAAUGAUAUCUCGAUUCGAUUUGCUAUAAACUUAUUGUUUUCAUCCCAUCAUUUUAUAAUUAUCGAUAAUAAUUCCCGGGAUAAAACUAUAAUUAGAAUGUCUAAUGAUGUACGACAUAUAAUAUCCAAAGCACUUAACAUAAUUAUGAUAUGAUGUACGACUUAUAAUUUUUUUUAUAAUUGUCCAAGUAUUGCAAUUCUAAAAAGCUAAACUUCAUGGAUAAGGCUUGGCGCUUCAUUUUUGAUUUGAUUACACUCUUUAUAACAUAAUUAUUUUUCAUGCUUUGCAUUCAUCAACCAAUACAUUUCUAGCUAUUACAGGAAUUAUACAUUCCACAGAGGAGGUUGGAAGCUUAUUUGAGGCCCUCUUCACAGCACACUUGAGUUCCUGCAAUGAUUUGGGUCGAUGAGGUUUGGUGAUGGUGAUGGGAGAAGCCACGGUCGCAGACAUGCCCAGCUUCUGCCCAUGGAAGUCGUUGCGGUUGUCCACCCAAGUGGAUCUCCUUGGCCUCUUCUUUCUUCUUGGUGCAGUGGAGAGUGGAAUGAAGACUCCAGUUCCUUUUCUCUCCCUUCCGAUGGCCAUCUCCUCGUAGCCAUAUGAUGAUGGCAGCAUCAUGGUUCGAGGCAUGCAGGGAAGCCCCUGUGGAGAGCAUGAUACGAACCAGUGUCAAACAUGGAGGCCAGAAUAUAUAUGAAGGUCUGAUUCAUGGCAAGACAUCAGGAAACAGCAGACAUCUUAUCCCUCCCCUAUGGCGGCCAUUUGAGGAAACAGUUCACAAAGACUGGUGAGGAAAACCUGAACCGGAAGGGGUGGACACUGCACUGGGAAUUCUUCCUCAUCAUCCAUAAUUAGCAUGGCAAUCUGCUUGCUUAGAUCUGCAAAGAAGACAUCGUCUUCAACCUCCACGGCCAUCUGAUACUGGUACCCGAAGACACCGAAACAGGGAGGAAGAGGAGGGAAACUAAGAGGAGUCCAAAUCCACUCCUCAACUCAUUCUUCUUCUCUUCGCUUGCUUCGGUUGCAGUCGAGCUUUAAUAGGCAAAGGAGGCGGUAUUCGGAUUGGAGGUACGUGCGGGCCCCAAUGGCAGUUGACCAAUCCCCUCCUCUUGUGGCCCACCAAAAGCCACAAGUGGGUGAGGAAGAGAACUACAUGGGAAUAUCUUGAUAGGGUGGCAAAUGGACGAGGAGAGGGGCUUCCGGCAACAAAUGUAGCCAUCAAAGAUUCAAUUCCAUGAUAAAGAUGUGAUCGAAGCAUAUCCACCGGAAGAGUUGGUUUGAAAUUUCUCUAUUUGGUCAUAACAAUUUUGGAUCAAGUGAGAUAUUAUAUUUUGAUUAGGAUUUGGCUAUUUGUAGAUUUAUAGCUUUGGUUAUAUAUUAUAUUUUGAUGAGAAUGAAAGGUUCAAGUGAGAUAUUUAUUGA